rnacentral:rRNA from 1 species
GACGAACGCUGGCGGCGUGCUUAACACAUGCAAGUCGAACGGAAAGGCCCUGCUUUUGUGGGGUGCUCGAGUGGCGAACGGGUGAGUAACACGUGAGUAACCUGCCCUUGACUUUGGGAUAACUUCAGGAAACUGGGGCUAAUACCGGAUAGGAGCUCCUGCUGCAUGGUGGGGGUUGGAAAGUUUCGGCGGUUGUGGAUGGACUCGCGGCUUAUCAGCUUGUUGGUGGGGUAGUGGCUUACCAAGGCUUUGACGGGUAGCCGGCCUGGGAGGGUGACCGGCCACAUUGGGACUGAGAUACGGCCCAGACUCCUACGGGAGGCAGCAGUGGGGAAUAUUGCACAAUGGGCGGAAGCCUGAUGCAGCAACGCCGCGUGCGGGAUGACGGCCUUCGGGUUGUAAACCGCUUUCGCAUGUGACGAAGCGUGAGUGACGGUAAUGGGUAAAGAAGCACCGGCUAACUACGUG